ensembl:lncRNA
GGGGGGCCGCCCAUUAAGAUUCAGAGGGAAGAUGGAGAGAAACAAAGGCGCCCCAGUGCUGCCCACUUAGCAUGCCGGCGCCGCGCCGCUCGGCUCCCAGGGCCGAGACUCCUAAGGCCCCCGGCACCUCCAAGGCCACGGGCACGGAAGGACAGCUGCCGAGGGCACCCAGCGAACACCAGACCCGGGAAACUGUGCAGGAUUCGGCCCUUGGAAAGGCUGUCAGCUCGACUUCCCUUUCUGCACAGUGACUGUCUUUGGUUAUCACCCGAAGUUGUUGCAGGAGCUUUUACACAACCACCUGAGAAUUUAAGAGUCUCUGAGAGCUUUUGUUUGCCUAUCCUGGUGAAGUUAGCCAUAGAGAGCUGGGAGGGACUGUUUCUUCGCCAGACAGCACGGUUGCUCAUAGGAAGGAGAUGGCACCCACUGAGAAGGCUCCAGUGACGAAUGAACCCCUCCCAGGUGAUAUUCGAAAUUCUGUUGGCAUCCACAGUGGUCUCUCUGAUACGACACGUCUAGACCAAAC